UGGGGAAUAUUGGACAAUGGGCGCAAGCCUGAUCCAGCCAUGCCGCGUGAGUGAUGAAGGCCUUAGGGUUGUAAAGCUCUUUUAACGGGGAAGAUAAUGACGGUACCCGUAGAAUAAGCCCCGGCUAACUUCGUGCCAGCAGCCGCGGUAAUACGAAGGGGGCUAGCGUUGCUCGGAAUCACUGGGCGUAAAGCGCACGUAGGCGGAUCUUUAAGUCAGGGGUGAAAUCCCGGAGCUCAACUCCGGAACUGCCUUUGAUACUGGGGAUCUUGAGUUCGAGAGAGGUGAGUGGAACUGCGAGUGUAGAGGUGAAAUUCGUAGAUAUUCGCAAGAACACCAGUGGCGAAGGCGGCUCACUGGCUCGAUACUGACGCUGAGGUGCGAAAGCGUGGGGAGCAAACAG
rnacentral:rRNA from 1 species